ACCUGGUUGAUCCUGCCAGUAGUCAUAUGCUUGUCUCAAAGAUUAAGCCAUGCAUGUCUAAGUAUAAGCGAGUAUACUGUGAAACUGCGAAUGGCUCAUUAAAUCAGUUAUGGUUUAUUUGAUGGUACCUUACUACGUGGAUACCCGUAGUAAUUCUAGAGCUAAUACAUGCAGGAGUUCGUGCGCGGCUCGUCCGCGCGCGAUGUAUUUAUUAGAUAAGAGACCAACCCGCCUCGUGCGGUUGCGUGCCGAGUCAUAAUAACUGUUCGAAUCGCAUGGCUCUGACGCCGGCGAUGGUUCAUUCAAAUUUCUGCCCUAUCAGCUUUCGAUGGUAGGAUAGAGGCCUACCAUGGCGUUAACGGGUAACGGGGAAUUAGGGUUCGAUUCCGGAGAGGGAGCCUGAGAGAUGGCUACCACAUCCAAGGAAGGCAGCAGGCGCGUAAAUUGCCCGAAUCCUGACACAGGGAGGUAGUGACAAGAAAUAACAAUACAGGGCCAUCUUGGUCUUGUAAUUGGAAUGAGUACAAUUUACAUCUCUUCACGAGGAUCAAUUGGAGGGCAAGUCUGGUGCCAGCAGCCGCGGUAAUUCCAGCUCCAAUAGCGUAUAUUAAAGUUGUUGCAGUUAAAACGCUCGUAGUCGGAUUUCGGGUCGGUUGCGCCGGUCUGCCGAUGGGUAUGCACUGGCGGAGUCGGCCUUUCUUCCGGAGACCGCGCCUCCUCUUAGCUGAGCGGGUGCGGGAGACGGAUCGUUUACUUUGAAAAAAUCAGAGUGUUUCAAGCAGGCAGCUCGCUCUUGCAUGGAUUAGCAUGGGAUAAUGAAAUAGGACUCUGGUGCUAUUUUGUUGGUUUCGAACACCGGAGUAAUGGUCAACAGGGACAGUCAGGGGCACUCGUAUUCCGCCGAGAGAGGUGAAAUUCUCAGACCAGCGGAAGACGAACCACUGCG
rnacentral:rRNA from 1 species